rnacentral:rRNA from 1 species
GACGAACGCUGGCGGCGUGCUUAACACAUGCAAGUCGAGCGGUAAGGCCCUUUUCGGGGGUACACGAGCGGCGAACGGGUGAGUAACACGUGGGUGACCUGCCCUUCAGCUCUGGGAUAAGCCUGGGAAACCGGGUCUAAUACUGGAUAUGACUCCAUGACGCAUGUUAGUGGGGUGGAAAGCCUUGUGCGGCUGAGGAUGGGCCCGCGGCCUAUCAGCUUGUUGGNGGGGUGAUGGCCUACCAAGGCGACGACGGGUUAGCCGGCCUGAGAGGGCGACCGGCCACACUGGGACUGAGACACGGCCCAGACUCCUACGGGAGGCAGCGAGUGGGGAAUCUUGCGCAAUGGGCGAAAGCCUGACGCAGCGACGCCGCGUGAGGGAUGACGGCCUGGU